GGCUGUAGUGUAAAGGUUAUCAUAAGGUUUCAUCGCAUUCCCGAUGCAGGGUUCGAAUCCCUGCCGGCCG